AAAUAUUGAACUUGCAAGGCUCAAAUGCAUCAUCAUCAGAAGUUAAGUCUAUUAGAAAACCACCAAAUGCCAGGUACGUGAACUCUUGCUCAAUAAUAUUCACAAUUGGUCCAUUCAUGGAUAUAAUACUGUUUGAUAGCUGACCAACCGAAAGCUUUACAUGGAUUUGAUACUUCGAAAGCACGAUUAUGUUGAUAGCAAGCCAGGACACAAUGUAAGUUUAUAGGUAUUUAUUCCUCUAUUAUCAUAAAAAGAAGCCAAAUUCAACAUAGAAGCUACAAAUGUAUUUGUCAGGACAGAGAAUUGUUGGUCUCUCGAUUGAACUAACCUGAAGAUAUUUACCCGGCCCUAUGUAUGAUACAGCCAAAGGAUAAUGAAUAUUGAUUACCACUCACCAUUUCUUUUUUAUGAGUGUAUUAGGAAGGUAUAAUUAGACAUUAUCUUAAAAUACAUUAAUGAUGUAACUUGUUAAUACACUUAUAGUAAAAUAGGAUUGUCUAUGUUAAUAAAUCUUAAUACCAAAGUCAAUUUUUUCGA